UCGCAAUGUCUAUUUUUUCAAAAUUUUGCAACAGUGUAUGCGACAGUUUUGGCAACCGUUGCAACUUUUGGAUCUAAAACCAAAUUUGAAGUUAGCGCUAAGUGAAUUUGUGUGAACUCUUUCACUCACUCAGAUAAACUGAAAUCCCUCUUCACUUUUUGUUAUAAACAAAAUAAAUAAAAAAAACCCUCAAAUCCCUAAAAUCAUUUUCCAAUUCUCUCGAAUCAACGAAGAAGCUUCUCCUAUAUUACAAAUCACUCUCCAAAUCAUGUUCCCCUUCAUCGUUCCAAUCCCUAAAUCCCCUUCAUCGUUCCCAUUAACGAAGCUUAAUCUUCUAUCUCCAGAAAGCUUCAUCGUUCGGUUUCUCUUCUAGUUUCGAUGUCUCAUUAUGUCUCCGACAACGAGGCUUCUCUUUCACCACUCAGGUUUCCGCCGCACACCCGUCAGUCACGUCGAUCUCCGCCGACACACCCUCCACAGUUUAGACGUUCAGGUUUUUUUUCCUUCUUUCUGCUUCCCUUUCUUUGUUCCUAUUAGUUUUCCAUUGGAGUUAGGGUGCACAGAAAGGGUUUGAGAAUCGCGUUUGAUGAUCGAUAAUUUGGAAGGUUUUGAGAAACACGAUUAUGGAUCUGAGGAAUCACGUUUGGUGGUCAAAGGGAUGAAGUUGGGUUUGAGAAUCGUAAUUUUGGGUUUGAGGAAUGGGUUUGAGAAUCACAGAAUAUCGCAUGAUGUUUAUUCUUUUUUUUUUCUUUUAUGUGUUAAGUAGAUGUGGUUUUUAUGUGUUAUUCUUGCGAUUUUAGUGAUGCAAAGAGUAAAGAAUUUAGGGGAUUCUAACCUGAUUUAUGGAAGAUUUUAGGGACUGGCUUAUGCAGGAUUUUGGGGAUUUAAGAAUUUUGAUUAAAAAUUAGAAAUUAGGGUUGGUAGUUAUAUGGUUCUGAAUCUGAUUUUAAUGAAUAGGGUUCCAAAGUGACAGUUUUUAUAUUUAGUUGGUAGUAGGGAUCUUAGAAAUUAUUGAAUCUGAAAUUGGGAAGUUGAUACAUUAAUGUUUUGCAUGAUUUAAAUUCUGGGUUUCUUCGUGGUUGAGGUUUUCUUUGUAAAACAAAAACGAUAUUAAAGAAAUGGUUUUGCAUGAUACUAAAGAAAUGGUUGUGAUUGAGGUUUUCUUUGUAAAACAAAAAUGAUAUUGGUAUUAUCUUUCUGGAAUAGCCAUCACUUAGUUAAAUUGUUUUUAUUAAGGUAAUAAAGUCUUUGUGUUGUUAUGUUUUAGAGAAAAAUAGAACUCGGUAAAUAGUCAUUGUGCUAUGUUAUGCAGAGAAAGAGUUUUUGCCAUUGUGCUAUGUUAUGCUGUUAUGAUAUGUUUCAGGCUUGUAAUAACAUAAAUAGUCAUUGUUGUUAUGCUAAGGCACGUAUUUGAAUUGAAUUCAAACUUUGGAAUGUAUUUUGGUUUGCUCACAUUGAAGUUUGCUCAUUGGUUGCAGGGGCUUUCACUUUGCUGGUAAAGUUAAGAUGCUUUAUGCUCUUGUUUUUUGUUUGGCAAUGCUGAACUUCUUUGUUUUUGCUGAAGGCAUCUCCAGUGCCUUUUGAUUUAUAUAAUUUCAUUUAGCUUUUUCUUUGAUUCAUUUAUCGUAUACUUUGUUAUAUUGCUUGAGAAUAUGGUGCUUGUACUUCUAUUAUGUUUUAUGAUGAGG
rnacentral:lncRNA from 1 species